rnacentral:rRNA from 1 species
UACGUAGGGUGCGAGCGUUGUCCGGAAUUACUGGGCGUAAAGAGCUCGUAGGUGGUUUGUCGCGUUGUUCGUGAAAACCGGGGGCUUAACCCUCGGCGUGCGGGCGAUACGGGCAGACUUGAGUACUGCAGGGGAGACUGGAAUUCCUGGUGUAGCGGUGGAAUGCGCAGAUAUCGGGAGGAACACCUGAGGCGAAGGCGGGCUACUGGGCCGAUACUGACGCUGAUGCGCGAAAGCCAGGGGAGCAAACGGG